rnacentral:lncRNA from 1 species
CUUUUAUGUGGGGCUUGGGAGUUGUUCCUUGUGUUGUAGGAACAAUGGCCCUGUCUCUCAACAGUAGGUUGGAACUGAUGUGUGCAGAUGCUACGAUACAAAGGAAAAGCCCAAAACUUCUGGGAAAAUACUAGCUGGAAAAUGACUUGAUCAAAACUUGACAACCUUACCAGCAUCACGGAGGUUGAUGAAUACUGAUAAAGCUGUAGAUGUCACUGACUAGCAGCUUCAUUUUGAAUGAGGGGUCAAUAGCUGCCCAUUGAAAGAGGCCAAUUUGCUGAAGUUCCUAAGGUGUAACUAUUUCUGGUUAGUGCCAGGACUUUUACUUGUCUGUUGUAUGAAAACAAAACAAAACAAAACAAAACAAAACAAAACAAAACAAAAACUGAUCAGAAAAAGCCCUUCAUUUU